UAGUAUGUUUGGGAUAGAUCCCCAUGUAGUAGUGUCAGAUCCUCACCUGAAUGCUUCGAACCUUUCAUUUCUACAAGCCACGCUACAUUGGCUACAUUAGGCAUUUUUAGUUUUUUACUUUCUUAGCACAAUGUAAUUACUAAGGUACCUUUAG
rfam:Populus trichocarpa scaffold_3_contig_261, whole genome shotgun sequence.